CGCACGCAAGACUUAUACAAGACCUAAGCGCCUGCCCUCCCACCCCGACUCAGCCGUCGCCGCCGCUGUUCAUCUGAGCGCUGAGACGCCGCCGCCGCUAUUCAUCUAAGCGCUGAGACGCCGCCGGUGCCACCGCCCACUGCAUCUUCUCCCCCACCCGGCCACCCCCGACGCCGACUCCUGCGGCGGCUGGCAUCUCCCGCAUCUCCGCCCUCGCCUUCGCACUGACCGCCGACUGUCGCGCUGUCGCCCAUCCUCCGCCCAGCGCCCACCCACCUUCGAUUCGAGCUUCGAGCCUUCGACAUCGUCCCAACUCUCCACAUUGGCAACUCAGCGGGUGACCGUCUGUCCAUCUCGGCGGCGUCUUCUCCACUGAGACAAUUUAACUCUUAAAAAUGGAGAUAUUAUAAUGACGCCAAUGAUUGUUGGGUCCACCGGAAUUUUCAGGAGGUGAUAGAAGUUGUGAUUAAUAUCAACAAUCAAAUGGAAUAUGCAGACUGGACAAUUCUGUGGCAGAGGAAGCUAAUAUUCCUUUAAAAAUGUGGAAGAUACUAAUGUAUAUGAAAGUAGAUUUGAUAUGCAAGAUGAUGUAUCUGUAGUACUCUGUACUAAGGUUGAAAACUUGUUUAUGUAAAUUUGUGUUCAAAUCUUUUGUGUUCAAAUCUGUUUUUGUUGUUAAUAGUGCAGUCCUAUUGUUCUGACUUGAACAUUAAUCUUACUGUAAGGUGCAAUGUGUCUAUGUAUUUGGAUUUGA